rnacentral:rRNA from 1 species
UAUACCGUGAAACUGCGAAUGGCUCAUUAAAUCAGUUAUCGUUUAUUUGAUAGUACCUUACUACUUGGAUAACCGUGGUAAUUCUAGAGCUAAUACAUGCUAAAAACCCCGACUUCGGGAGGGGUGUAUUUAUUAGAUAAAAAACCAAUGCCCUUCUGGGCUCUUUGGUGAUUCAUGAUAACUUAACGGAUCGCAUGGCCUUGCGCCGGCGACGGUUCAUUCAAAUUUCUGCCCUAUCAACUUUCGAUGGUAAGGUAUUGGCUUACCAUGGUUUCAACGGGUAACGGGGAAUUAGGGUUCGAUUCCGGAGAGGGAGCCUGAGAAACGGCUACCACAUCCAAGGAAGGCAGCAGGCGCGCAAAUUACCCAAUCCCGACACGGGGAGGUAGUGACAAUAAAUACUGAUACAGGGCUCUUUUGGGUCUUGUAAUCGGAAUGAGUACAAUUUAAACCCCUUAACGAGGAACAAUUGGAGGGCAAGUCUGGUGCCAGCAGCCGCGGUAAUUCCAGCUCCAAUAGCGUAUAUAAAGUUGUUGCAGUUAAAAAGCUCGUAGUUGAACCUUGGGCCUGGCUGGCCGGUCCGCCUCACCGCGUGUACUGGUCCGGCCGGGCCUUUCCUUCUGGUGAGCCUCAUGCCCUUCACUGGGUGUGCUGGGGAACCAGGACUUUUACUGUGAACAAAUUAGAGUGUUCAAAGCAGGCCUUUGCUCGAAUACAUUAGCAUGGAAUAAUAGAAUAGGACGUGCGGUCCUAUUUUGUUGGUUUCUAGGACCGCCGUAAUGAUAAUAGGGAUAGUCGGGGCAUCAGUAUUCAAUGUCAGAGUGAAUUCUGAUUAUGAGACUACUACUGCGAAGCAUUGCCAGAUGUUUCAUAUCAGUGACGAAGUAGGGAUCGAAACAAUCAAAUACCG